rnacentral:rRNA from 1 species
UCGGUCCUACGGGGGGCAGCAGUGAGGAAUAUUGGUCAAUGGCCGAGAGGCUGAACCAGCCAAGUCGCGUGAGGGAAGACGGCCCUACGGGUUGUAAACCUCUUUUGUCGGGGCGCAAAGAGAGUCACGUGUGACUCAUUGAGAGUACCCGAAGAAAAAGCAUCGGCUAACUCCGUGCCAGCAGCCGCGGUAAUACGGAGGAUGCGAGCGUUAUCCGGAUUUAUUGGGUUUAAAGGGUGCGUAGGCGGACGCUUAAGUCAGCGGUAAAAUUGCGGGGCUCAACCUCGUCGAGCCGUUGAACAUGG